rnacentral:rRNA from 1 species
UACGUAUGGUGCGAGCGUUGUCCGGAAUUAUUGGGCGUAAAGGGCUCGUAGGCGGUUUGUCGCGUCGGGAGUGAAAACCAUGGGCUUAACUCAUGGCUUGCUUCCGAUACGGGCAGACUAGAGGUAUGCAGGGGAGAACGGAAUUCCUGGUGUAGCGGUGAAAUGCGCAGAUAUCAGGAGGAACACCGGUGGCGAAGGCGGUUCUCUGGGCAUUACCUGACGCUGAGGAGCGAAAGUGUGGGGAGCGAACAGG